rnacentral:tRNA from 1 species
GGGAAUGUGGCUUAGUGGUAGAGUGCUUGCCUAGCACGCAUGAAGUCCUGGGUUCAAUUCCUCAGUACCA